GAAAUGCGAUAAUUAAUGUGAAUUGCAGAAUUCAGUGAAUCAUCGAGUCUUUGAACGCACAUUUCGCCCCCUGGUAUUCCGGGGGGCAUGCCUGUCCGAGCGUCAUUGCUGCCCUCAAGCACGGCUUGUGUGUUGGGCUUCCGUCCCUGGCAACGGGGACGGGCCCAAAAGGCAGUGGCGGCACCAUGUCUGGUCCUCGAGCGUAUGGGGCUUUGUCACCCGCUCCCGUAGGUCCAGCUGGCAGCUAGCCUCGCAACCAAUCUUUUUAACCAGGUUGACCUCGGAUCAGGUAGGGAUACCCGCUGAACUUAAGC
rnacentral:misc_RNA from 1 species